GUUCUCGGCUCGUGUCGCAGUCAAUUGAUAAUGGGCCCCAGCCAUUCCAGGCGAAUGAUGAGCAAAUUAUCAAUUGACUUUCCAUGGCCAUUGUCAUCU
rnacentral:pre_miRNA from 1 species